GAUGAACGCUGGCGGCGUGCCUAAUACAUGCAAGUAGAACGCUGAAGGAAGGAGCUUGCUCUUUCCGGAUGAGUUGCGAACGGGUGAGUAACGCGUAGGUAACCUGCCUGGUAGCGGGGGAUAACUAUUGGAAACGAUAGCUAAUACCGCAUAACAGUAGAUGUUGCAUGAUAUCUACUUAAAAGGUGCAAUUGCACCACUACCAGAUGGACUUGCGUUGUAUUAGUUAGUUGGUGAGGUAACGGCUCACCAAGGCGACGAUACAUAGCCGACCUGAGAGGGUGAUCGGCCACACUGGGACUGAGACACGGCCCAGACUCCUACGGGAGGCAGCAGUAGGGAAUCUUCGGCAAUGGACGGAAGUCUGACCGAGCAACGCCGCGUGAGUGAAGAAGGUUUUCGGAUCGUAAAGCUCUGUUGUAAGAGAAGAACGAGUGUGAGAGUGGAAAGUUCACACUGUGACGGUAUCUUACCAGAAAGGGACGGCUAACUACGUG
rnacentral:rRNA from 1 species